AAGAAGGAAGAGAAGGAAUGAAUUGGUCCGUAUGUAACCGCGGCCACUUUUCGGCUGCUUUCAGACGCGUCGAGAGGAGGUGGUUGAGG